GACGAACGCUGGCGGCGUGCUUAACACAUGCAAGUCGAACGAAGUGGCGAACGGGUGAGUAAAGCGUAGUAAACCUGCCCUUCAGAGGGGGACAAAAGUUGGAAACGACUGCUAAUACCGCAUACUGAAGGAGGGGAUUGAGUCUGAUUAGCUGGUUGGGGGGGUAACGGCCCACCAAGGCGAUGAUCAGUAGCCGGUCUGAGAGGAUGAACGGCCACAUUGGGACGGAGACACGGCCCAGACUCCUACGGGAGGCAGCAGUAGGGAAUCUUCGGCAAUGGACGAAAGUCUGACCGAGCAACGCCGCGUGAGUGAAGAAGGUUUUCGGAUCGUAAAACUCUGUUGGUAGAGAAGCGGUAUCUAACCAGAAAGCCACGGCUAACUACGUGCCAGCAGCCGCGGUAAUAC
rnacentral:rRNA from 1 species